rnacentral:lncRNA from 1 species
AUGGAAAUAAUUCUGCCCUCCCAUUCUCAAGGGCCAGGGGGAAUUCUAAUAUUGAACGGAAGUGAUUUGGGAAUUGCAUGGAAUUCUCACUGCCAUCCCAAAGAAAUGCUGAUCUUGUCACUCUUACCUGUUCCGUUGCCUGGGCAGAACAAAAGGAUGCACUUCAAAGAUCGGCAUGAACCAAGAACUGGGUUUCAUAUGAAAUAUUUUACUCUGUCCUCUUGA